AUACGGAGGGCGCAAGCGUUGUUCGGAAUCAUUGGGCGUAAAGCGCGCGUAGGCGGCACGGCAAGUCGGGUGUGAAAGCCCGGGGCUCAACCCCGGAACUGCACUCGAAACUGCCGAGCUAGAGUCUCGGAGAGGAAGGCGGAAUUCCCGGUGUAGAGGUGAAAUUCGUAGAUAUCGGGAGGAACACCAGUGGCGAAGGCGGCCUUCUGGACGAUGACUGACGCUGAGGUGCGAAAGCGUGGGGAGCAAACAGGAUUAGAAACCCCAGUAGUCC
rnacentral:rRNA from 1 species